rnacentral:rRNA from 1 species
CACGGAGCUUGCUCUGUGGGAUCAGUGGCGAACGGGUGAGUAACACGUGAGCAACCUGCCCCUGACUCUGGGAUAAGCGCUGGAAACGGCGUCUAAUACUGGAUACGAACCACGACCGCAUGGUCAGUGGUUGGAAAGAAUUUUGGUUGGGGAUGGGCUCGCGGCCUAUCAGCUUGUUGGUGAGGUAAUGGCUCACCAAGGCGUCGACGGGUAGCCGGCCUGAGAGGGUGACCGGCCACACUGGGACUGAGACACGGCCCAGACUCCUACGGGAGGCAGCAGUGGGGAAUAUUGCACAAUGGGCGAAAGCCUGAUGCAGCAACGCCGCGUGAGGGAUGACGGCCUUCGGGUUGUAAACCUCUUUUAGCAGGGAAGAAGCGAAAGUGACGGUACCUGCAGAAAAAGCGCCGGCUAACUACGUGCCAGCAGCCGCGGUAAUACGUAGGGCGCAAGCGUUAUCCGGAAUUAUUGGGCGUAAAGAGCUCGUAGGCGGUUUGUCGCGUCUGCUGUGAAAUCCCGAGGCUCAACCUCGGGCCUGCAGUGGGUACGGGCAGACUAGAGUGCGGUAGGGGAGAUUGGAAUUCCUGGUGUAGCGGUGGAAUGCGCAGAUAUCAGGAGGAACACCGAUGGCGAAGGCAGAUCUCUGGGCCGUAACUGACGCUGAGGAGCGAAAGGGUGGGGAGCAAACAGGCUUAGAUACCCUGGUAGUCCACCCCGUAAACGUUGGGAACUAGUUGUGGGGUCCAUUC